UACGUAGGGUGCAAGCGUUGUCCGGAAUUAUUGGGCGUAAAGAGCUCGUAGGCGGUCUGUUGCGUCCGCUGUGAAAACUCGGGGCUUAACCCCGAGCCUGCAGUGGAUACGGGCAGACUAGAGUGUGGUAGGGGAGACUGGAAUUCCUGGUGUAGCGGUGAAAUGCGCAGAUAUCAGGAGGAACACCGAUGGCGAAGGCAGGUCUCUGGGCCACUACUGACGCUGAGUGAGCGAAAGCCAGGGGAGCAAACGGG
rnacentral:rRNA from 1 species